GAUGAACGCUAGCUACAGGCUUAACACAUGCAAGUCGAGGGACCGGCGCACGGGUGAGUAACGCGUAUCCAACCUACCCAUUACUGUGGGAUAACCUGCCGAAAGGCAGACUACUACCGCAUAGUAAUGGAUGGGGCUGAGUCUGAUUAGCUUGUUGGAGGGGUAACGGCCCACAAAGGCAACGAUCAGUAGGGGUUCUGGGAGGAAGGUCCCCCACAGUGGAACUAGUACACGGUCCAAGCUCCUACGGGAGGCAGCAGUUAGGAAUAUUGUUCAAUGGGCGUUAGCCUGAACCAGCCAAGUAUCGUGAAGGAUGAAGGCUUAUGGGUCGUAAACUUCUUUUAUAUAAGAAUAUGUAUUAUAUGAAUAAGGAUCGGCUAACUCCGUGCCAGCAGCCGCGGUAAUUC
rnacentral:rRNA from 1 species